AGAUGGCGACCGGCGCACGGGUGAGUAACACGUAUCCAACCUGCCGAUAACUCGGGGAUAGCCUUUCGAAAGAAAGAUUAAUACCCGAUGGUAUAAUCAGACCGCAUGGUUUGAUUAUUAAAGAAUUUCGGUUAUCGAUGGGGAUGCGUUCCAUUAGGCAGUUGGUGAGGUAACGGCUCACCAAACCUUCGAUGAAUAGGGGUUCUGAGAGGAAGGUCCCCCACAUUGGAACUGAGACACGGUCCAA
rnacentral:rRNA from 1 species